UAAUACAAUGAGUUCUAUCAAACACUUGGUGUCACAUUGUAAUUUAUAGAACACAUUAGGUUUUACAUUUGGACUCAGGGCACGGUAUAAGGCUGUUUUUAGGAGGGCCUUACAUCAAUAUAUGUGGGAGCAGAGCCAUUUACCCUUGGGCUGAAGACCCUGGUCUUUUUUCCACCAAGCAAUGUCUCUGCUCGUGCCAUUACUGAGGAAACCUAUACAACUGUCCGACAGGUGCAACCUAUAUGGGCAGUUCACAAAUAAAAAGUUAGGCAAGUAGGCAAACAGUGUAUAAAACAUUGACUGAAAGAGAACUGUAGCUUAUAGCUUAAAGGGAACACUCCAGGCACCAAGCACACUUCAUGUGGUGCCUGGAAUCACCCUAUGCCUUCUUGCCUCCAAG